rnacentral:rRNA from 1 species
AUAGCGUAUAUUAAAGUUGUUGCAGUUAAAAAGCUCGUAGUUGAACCUUGGGCCUGGCUGGCCGGUCCGCCUCACCGCGUGCACUGGUCCGGCCGGGCCUUUCCUUCUGGCUAGCCACAUGCCCUUCACUGGGUGUGUUGGGGAACCAGGACUUUUACUUUGAAAAAAUUAGAGUGUUCAAAGCAGGCCUAUGCCCGAAUACAUUAGCAUGGAAUAAUAAAAUAGGACGUGUGGUUCUAUUUUGUUGGUUUCUAGAUCCGCCGUAAUGAUUAAUAGGGAUAGUCGGGGGCAUCAGUAUUCAAUUGUCAGAGGUGAAAUUCUUGGAUUUAUUGAAGACUAACUACUG